UUUACCAAAAAGGAUUCGAUUUCCAUCCCAUGUGAAUACUAAAUUUCCUUCCCUCUUUAAAAAGAAAAACACUCUGUGCUUUAUUAUUUCAACAAGCUCUCAGUCUUAUUGUUUCAACUAGUCCCAAUAAAUUUGAGUUGUUACUGUUCAUAUCAUUUUUACGAUAUGGCAUCAGACUCUCAAACAGAUACUGACAAGAGCAGGGCUGGAAUUCGUGGCAUACUACAUUGUUUGUAUAAUCUACGCCCCCUAAGAGAUGAAUAAAUCAGACAUUCUUGUGUAACAGGGUAGACGGAGUUCCCACAUGCUCCAGCAAAGGAACUCUGAGCACAUCUGUGGAAUGUCAGAACCUUGGUUCAGGAGGUAAAGACCAAUUUGGGGACUGGGCGCCUGGGUGGCUCAGUCGGUUAAGUGUCCAACUUCGGCUCAGGUCAUGAUCUCUUGGUUCGUGGGUUUGAGCCCUGACAGCACAGAGCCCGCUUCAGAUCCUCUGUCCCCUUCUUUCUGCCCCACCCCAUCCUCUCUUCUCUCAAAAAUAAAUACACAUUCAAAAAAUAAGACCAGCUGGGGUGGGAGUCCCACAGCUGGAGACACGGAAUCUCAGGGGAGGUGAUGGCAAAGGCCAGAUGAGACCAGGGAGUGGACCAGUCCAGCCAUCCCACCCGUGAGGCUGCCGGGCUCCCUGCACAGACCUGGGGACAGUCGGGAUGCAGUGAGCCUCGCCCGUGCUCACAGACAAUGCCUUAAGGAAGAGAAGAAAUGAAAUCUGAAAAUAAAAACAAAACCAGCAACAUUUGGGUCAGCUCGUGUGGGCGGUUGAAUAUUAAGUAACUACAUAUUAAAAAUAAGUAGAUACGUAGAACAUGCAGUAUUGUAAAUAGUAAUACUUGCAAAGGAGAAAAUGUAGAACGGCUGAGGGACACAGGAAUGGUCAGCUUUGAGAACAGGGCAUCAGGGAAGGCACCGAGAAGGGGACAUUUGAGUCGAAGCUGGAGAGGGUGAAGAAGUGUGCUGGGCCAUUGAGGAAGACUAAGGAAGCCAGUGAGGAAGGACGGACAGGGGGUGUUGUAGGAGCAGAGGGUGCAUGGACAGCAGAUCACGCGGCGUCUGUGAACCACUGGAGAGAUGUUUGCUUUUCCUACAGAUGGAGGCUGUGGCAGAGGAAGUCGGUGGGAGAGGAAGAAAAGACGCGAGUUGGAUUCCAAGCGAGCCAUCCUGGCUGCCAUCUAGUUGCACUGAUUCAGCUGGGACUUGAUGGAGGCUCAGACCACGGUAGAGGGUGUAAACAUUGAUUCGUUGAAGGAUACAUUCUGAAGCUUUGCAAAGCCGUAAAGCCCAGCGGCCUGACAGCCCCCAGGGAGGGCACAAUGGAGGUGCAGCUUCUCCAGGGCCCCACUGCCAGAGCAGUGUCGACAUCUGACUCAUCUGGGGCUCCCUGGGACACCCCACCUGCAAGGCUGCCUUGAACUUGGCCUUGAGCUUCUCCCGUGAGAAGACACGUAUGUUGAGAACACGUAGAAGUAAUCGUCUAACUUCACAAGUGCGCAAAGCUGGGGUGAACAGUGGGCUAAUGAGAAAGCUUGAGGGGAAAAGCUGGAGAAUGAGCUAUCCCCAGGGGCUUUGGAAAGCUGCGAUCUUUGGGGCUCUGUGACCUGCUUUUGUCACUUAGCCUGUCUUAGAUGCCUGUCUGUCAACAGCUCUACCCGAUCCUGUUAUACUGUAGCACAAGAUCAUGAGACAGACGACACACGUCAAUAUCUAUGUUGUAUUAACAUUAGUUGAUACGACACACAGCGUUUAUAUUAAUAUAUUUAUAUGCUAUAUAUGUGUGUGUUCAUUUAGACGUUCUCCUAUUGAUAGAUAUUUCGGUCAUUUCAAAUGUUUUGCUGUGAAUAAUAAUGCUGUAUGGAGUAGCAUCCGGUCUACAAAGGCAGCUCCCAGGAAAGCUCACCUCCAGGUUUCCACGGCCUUAUGGCGUCCCUCCCACACCGGGUCUGGGCUUUCUGUAGUCGGCACCUUGCGGGAACCGAUGCUACCGGGGGGUUCCGGAACUAAGCCUGACCAAGGAUGGCUGCCUCCACAUCUGUGGUCUUUGGAGCUGGCUGCCACGUGAGUCCAAUGUCCUUUCAAGAGAGAGGCCACCGUGGGGCGCCUGGGGGGCUCAGUUGGUUGAGCGUCUGACUUUGGCUCAGGUCACGAUCUCGCGGUCCGUGAGUUCGAGCCCUGCGUCGGGCUCUGGGCUGAUGGCUCAGAGCCUGGAGCCUGCUUCCGAUUCUGUGUCUCCUUCUCUCUCUGCCCCUCCCCCGUUCAUACUCUGUCUCUGUCUGUCUCAAAAAUAAAUAAACGUUAAAAAAAAAUUAAAAAAAAAAAAGAGAGAGAGGCCACCUGCCGAGGCCUUGGACGAGAGCCGGCCCCACACUUUCCCCAGAGGUGGAGGCCACGGGGAGGGGCACUGAGAUGCCGGACGCAUGAGUGAAGAAGCCCUUCUGGGUGUUUCCACCCAGUGGAGCCUCAGAGUUCUACUACCCAGGGGAAAACCGUCCAGCCGAGCCCAGUCAACCCACAGGACCUUGAGGGGUUAUUGUGAGUUGUCGUGUUAUGCUCUCAAGUGCUGGGGUCCACUCUGCGGCAGUGGGUAAGCAAAAUUCUGCAGGAAACCACACAAGCUCCCUCCUGAUCUCUCUGUACAUGGAGAACUAAAGGGCGAGGCCAUGGGGCCCGCACAUCAAAUGGUAAUAAAUCCCGCCUAGUUCCUCUCCAGAGUGACCCUGCCCCACUUCACGUCCGCACCCACGGUCGUUGGGACUACCUUUUUCCUUUGAAGUGCUUGCCGGAUCAGAAACGGGAUUUCUGGUGGCUCAGUCGGUUAAGCGUCCGACUCUUGGUUUCGGCUCAGGUCACCAGCUCGCGGUUCGUGGGUUUGAGCCCGGUGUCGGGCUCUGUGCGGACAACGUGGAGCCUGCCUGGGAUUCUCUCUCUCUCCCCCUCUCAGUCUGCCCCUCCCUGCCUCUGUCUCAAAAUAAAUAGAUUUGAUUUAUUUAAAAUUUUAAAA